AAGCAUACCAAAACAACUUCCGAAAAAAAUUUCCCGGAUUUAGUUCUAUCGAUGCUAUAAGGACACUGGUGAAAAUGCCAACUCGGCCAAGGCUGCAAUUGUCAUAACAUCAUGGUACAGCUUUUGCAACUUGUGUGAUAUAUAUGCAAAAAGUGUUGCCCUACUUCCCUGAUGCUACAGUCAUCACUUCGACCAAUUUUGCAAAAUGUGUGUCGCGGCACGAACUGGAACCUAUUUAGCAAUACACUGAAGUCCAGUCAGUUCGCUAAAAAAGCGACGAUUGCCGACAUAGUCAUAAAGUCUAGGAUUUAACCAUUUAUGAACUGCGAACACUGCAGAUCAUGAAUUAUUUGGAGGAUGGGACAUUAUGACGUACAGGAUAUGUGACUGUUUCUACAAUAUAUUACCGCC